rnacentral:rRNA from 1 species
GCCCAGCACCGAAUCCCGCGUUCGAUAUCGGGCGCCGGGAAAUGUGGUGUUAGGGAGGAUCCGUUUAUCCCGAGGUCCGGCGGCGAGUCCAAGUCCUUCUUGAACGGGGCCACAGCCCAUAGAGGGUGCCAGGCCCGUAGCGGCCGCUGCCGAUCGCGGGAGGAUCUCUCCUUAGAGUCGGGUUGCUUGAGAGUGCAGCCCUAAGUGGGUGGUAAACUCCAUCUAAGGCUAAAUAUGACCACGAGACCGAUAGCGAACAAGUACCGUGAGGGAAAGUUGAAAAGCACUUUGAAGAGAGAGUUCAAGAGUACGUGAAACCGUUCAGGGGUAAACCUGAGAAACCCGAAAGGUCGAAAGGGGAAAUUCAUUCGCGUUUCGGUCGUCGAUGACGGGCGUUCGCGUGACGGACGGGUGCGUUCGCGCGCGUUUCGUCCGCAUCCUUCGCUCGUCCGAAUCGGCGUCGAACGCGUGCACUUUUCCCCUAGUAGGACGUCGCGAUCCGUUGGGUGUCGGAUUACGGUUCGCGGUGGAGCCCGCGCGCGUCGUUUCUUUAUAGUACACGCGCGCGGACCCGCGAUAUCCUAUCCGGCUCGCUCGACGGUAUAUAGAUGGCGCGGGGCCGCUACACAUAUCAGUUAGCGUCCGACCCGUGGCAAGCGCGUUCGGUGUCUAAGACGGCGAUCGGACUUUGUGCCGAUUCCGUCCUCGGACGACUGUUGGCCACGAGGACAUCUCGGACAGA